GAUGAACGCUGGCGGCGUGCCUAAUACAUGCAAGUCGAGCGAACAGACGAGGAGCUUGCUCCUCUGACGUUAGCGGCGGACGGGUGAGUAACACGUGGAUAACCUACCUAUAAGACUGGGAUAACUUCGGGAAACCGGAGCUAAUACCGGAUAAUAUAUUGAACCGCAUGGUUCAAUAGUGAAAGACGGUUUUGCUGUCACUUAUAGAUGGAUCCGCGCCGCAUUAGCUAGUUGGUAAGGUAACGGCUUACCAAGGCAACGAUGCGUAGCCGACCUGAGAGGGUGAUCGGCCACACUGGAACUGAGACACGGUCCAGACUCCUAGGGGAGGCAGCAGUAGGGAAUCUUCCGCAAUGGGCGAAAGCCUGACGGAGCAACGCCGCGUGGGUGAUGAAGGUCUUCGGAUCGUAAAACUCUGUUAUUAGGGAAGAACAAAUGUGUAAGUAACUAUGCACGUCUUGACGGUACCUAAGCAGAAAGCCACGGCUAACUACGU
rnacentral:rRNA from 1 species